GGAUAAUCUACCCUUAGGACUGGGAUAACCCCGGGAAACCGGGGCUAAUACCGGAUAGGCAAUUAUUCCUGCAAUGGUUUUUUGUUUAGAUGUUUUUUCGCCUAAGGAUGAGUCUGCGGCCGAUUAGGUAGUUGGUUAGGUAAUGGCUUACCAAGCCGUUGAUCGGUACGGGUUGUGAGAGCAAGAGCCCGGAGAUGGAACCUGAGACAAGGUUCCAGGCCCUACGGGGUGCAGCAGGCGCGAAACCUCCGCAAUGUGAGAAAUCGCGACGGGGGGAUCCCAAGUGCCAUUCUUAACGGGAUGGCUUUUCAUUAGUGUAAAGAGCUUUUGGAAUAAGAGCUGGGCAAGACCGGUGCCAGCCGCCGCGGUAACACCGGCAGCUCUAGUGGUAACAAUUUUUAUUGGGCCUAAAGCGUCCGUAGCCGGUUUAAUAAGUCUCUGGUGAAAUCCUGUAGCUUAACUGUGGGAAUUGCUGGAGAUACUAUUAGACUUGAGACCGGGAGAGGUUAGAGGUACUCCCAGGGUAGAGGUGAAAUUCUGUAAUCCUGGGAGGACCGCCUGUUGCGAAGGCGUCUAACUGGAACGGUUCUGACGGUGAGGGACGAAAGUUAGGGGCGCGAACCGGAUUAGAUACCCGGGUAGUCCUAACUGUAGACGAUGCGGACUUGGUGUUGGGGUGGCUUUGAGCUGCUCCAGUGCCGAAGGGAAGCUGUUAAGUCUGCCGCCUGGGAAGUACGGUCGCAAGACUGAAACUUAA
rnacentral:rRNA from 1 species